rnacentral:rRNA from 1 species
GACGAACGCUGGCGGCGUGCCUAAUACAUGCAAGCUGAGCGAUGAAGCUUGGUGCUUGCACCAAUUUGAAGAGCAGCGAACGGGUGAGUAACGCGUGGGGAAUCUGCCUUUGAGCGGGGGACAACAUUUGAAAACGAAUGCUAAUACCGCAUAACAACUUUAAACAUAAGUUUUAAGUUUGAAAGAUGCAAUUGCAUCACUCAAAGAUGAUCCCGCGUUGUAUUAGCUAGUUGGUGAGGUAAAGGCUCACCAAGGCGAUGAUACAUAGCCGACCUGAGAGGGUGAUCGGCCACACUGGGACUGAGACACGGCCCAAACUCCUACGGGAGGCAGCAGUAGGGAAUCUUCGGCAAUGGACGAAAGUCUGACCGAGCAACGCCGCGUGAGUGAAGAAGGUUUUCGGAUCGUAAAACUCUGUUGGUAGGGAAGAACGUUGGUGAGAGUGGAAAGCUCAUCAAGUGACGGUACCUACCCAGAAAGGGACGGCUAACUCCGU